rnacentral:rRNA from 1 species
AGUGGGGAAUUUUGGACAAUGGGGGAAACCCUGAUCCAGCCAUGCCGCGUGAGUGAAGAAGGCCUUCGGGUUGUAAAGCUCUUUCAGCCGGAACGAAAAGGUUACGGUUAAUACCCGUGACUAAUGACGGUACCGGAAGAAGAAGCACCGGCUAACUACGUGCCAGCAGCCGCGGUAAUACGUAGGGUGCGAGCGUUAAUCGGAAUUACUGGGCGUAAAGCGUGCGCAGGCGGUCUUGUAAGUCAGAUGUGAAAUCCCCGGGCUCAACCUGGGAACUGCGUUUGAAACUACAAGGCUAGAGUGUGGCAGAGGGGGGUGGAAUUCCACGUGUAGCAGUGAAAUGCGUAGAGAUGUGGAGGAACACCGAUGGCGAAGGCAGCCCCCUGGGUUAACACUGACGCUCAGGCACGAAAGCGUGGGGAGCAAA